rnacentral:lncRNA from 1 species
UGAGAGACAGAGAGAGAGGCAGAGACAUAGACAGAGGGAGAAGCAGGCUCCCCGCAAGGGAACCUGAUGCAGGACUUGAUCCCAGGACCCCAGGACUAUGACUCAAGCCAAAGGCAGAUGCCCAACCACCGAGCCACCCAGACGCCCCACAGUUAUUCCAAGUUAAAUGGAUUUUUUUUCCGUAAAAUUCUCAGCACUUUUUAUGCUAACAGGCCUAGUGACAUACCAAGACAGGAAAAUUAUAGACAAUAUGUCCCAAAUUUAUUUGAGCAAGAAGCUCUUUUUACAAAGGAUCCCACAGAACUCUGGUUUUGAGGGAUACCAUUGGGGAAAAUGCUGAUUUAGACCAAUUUGGUAAAUUGUAUCUUACUUAGUACCAGAGUCAGAGCAAGAACCAAAUCUAUUUUCAAACUACUAUUUAUUGACAGGAACAUUUCUGUCCGUCUUAACCUUUUUUGGUUGCAGGCAACUCCUUUAAGCUACAUCAAAUAAGAAAAAAAAAAGUAGUGAGAGAGCAGGGAGCCUCAUCCCAGGUGACAUAUCACAGGAUUCAAGAAAAGUUGCCCUUAGAAGCAUGGAGAUUGCCAUCUCUAGCACAAAACUCAAAUUGAAAUAUUUAAUUCUCAGUUGAAUAAUGAUAAGCACUGAAGAACUCAUUGCAUUGUAUAAAGAAAAAGUAUUAAAACUAUUCAAAUUAAACUUUAAACAAAAUCAUACACAGAAACCCUCCUGAAAAAAAAAUUAAAAAUAAGAAACCCUCCUGACAUAAAUUAAGGGAAUCUUUUAAUAAUAUAUUUAAAAUUUUGUAGCUAAACUCCCACUAUCCAAAACUAAAGGUUUUUUAAGUGGAACAUUUUGAGCAAUAAUAAAAAUAGUAACUGCAAUUUGUUGAAAACAUAAAGUAGUGCAUUUAAUAUAUAUGUGUGUGAGAGAAGAUGAGAAGCUUCCCUUUAUAGUUUUCCAACUAAUAAAAAGAAAUCAUGGAAUUAUAAUGUCACCCUAAUUAAAUAAUGGAUCUAGGCAAUGAUCAUCAAGUCCCCUAAAACAUAAAAAGAAAGACACAUGAUAUUCAUUGGCCUCCUGAUGGAUCCUCAUAUGAAGUAUUCUAAAACUGUUCUAAAACUGAACAUGAAUUGGUUCAAUCCUCUAUCAAACUGGUGUUUGAUAACACCAGCGUGGUACAAUCAGCAAAAUUAAUAAUGCAGGAAUGUCUACAGGGCAAAUGCUCUGGUUUCUUCAAGAAAUAUUCCAUGGACAAAAAAGAUAGAGAAAGUAUAGAUUUAAAGACAUGGUGACUAAUUUCAGAUGUAUGUAUUUUAUGUGGAUGCUGACUUAAUAUUAUUUUUUAGCUAUAAUCAUGUUAUUUUUUAAAGUGGUUACCUUUUAGAAAUCCAUAUAGGCACUAUUUACAGGCACAUAAUUUGAAAUAAUCCAGUGGCAGGUGGGGCUUUUUAAAAAUGAAAAUGAUAAUUGUUGAUGCUAGGUGAUGGCUACACAAAGGGUUCAUUAUACUAUUCUCUCUACUUUUGCAUAUGUUUCAAAUUACCCUUAAUAAAAAGCUUCUAUAAUAUCUGUUGCUACAUUACAGUAUAGGGGCGUUUUUUUUUUUUUUUUAAAUUGAGGGUUUUCCUUGGUUGUUCUGAAGAUCACUACACACACUUCAAUUCAUAUAUAGUUCUUAACAUAUGUACCAAAAAUCUAGAAAAUCACAUAGAUUUGAUUCUUUUCUAAAAGGUUUUCUAAAAAUAAAUAAAUAAAUAAAAGGUUUUCCAAUGACCUUCCAGCUAAAAUUGGGAAGCAAAUUUUCCUUAACAGUUGAUCAAGUACCAAUAUCUUCAAUUGUCAAUGCACUGUUACAUUGUUAAAAAAAAAA